GUGCUCACUUCAGCAGCACAUAUACUAAAAUUGAAAUGAUACAGAGAAGUUUAACAUGAUGCCUGUACAAGGAUGACACGCAAAAUCAUGAAGAGUCCCAUAUUUUU